GCAAUGUGGCCUGAACUUACUGAGGGACUAAAGUUUUGUUUAAAAACAUGUCAGUGCUGUAGUGUCUUGAUGCAAGGCAGCGAAAGGGUGCAGUUCUGCAGCUGGUUAUCCAAUAUGCAAAGAAAUGAGGCAUUACCAUUUAACAAUACACACACAAACACACACAAAGAUUAACAGUUGACAGUCCAGACACACCUGCGACAGAAGACCAGAGCAAAACAUCUUUCUAAAGACAAGUCAUGUCCGUCAACUCCUCUUCCUCCUCUAAUGCCGUCCUUCCUCCCUCUCCCCUUCCUUCCUCGAGCAUCGUUUCCCUCAUGUACAGGUGCUUCAACUCCCCACCUGGUGCUCCGAUCGCCACAGCCUUAGCCAUGACAAGCCUCUUCAGCCUCCUUCCUCUCUCCAGUCUUGUCCUCUACCUGGGUCUUCAGCGAUGGCGGAAACAACCCUCUGGCACGACGUUGAGUCACUCCGACCUCUUUACCUGCCACGUGGCUGUCAUAGAGCUGAUGGGUGUCAUUGGGUUCACAUUCCUCCGCUGUGGUCUCCACACUGGUCUUCCACAAAUGACGAUGGCCCAUGAAAAUGUACACCGAGUCUUCCUCCCAAAAUGGCUCCCUCCCUUCCCCCAACUCCUCCAGCAACUCCUUCCUCAACAUCUGCUUCAAUGACACACCUGGUUCCUCCAUCUUCACAGCCUUCACCUUCACCAACAUCCUCCUCCUCCUCCCUCUCUCCAUCUUUAUCCUCUCCUAUGGUGCCCAUCACUGGUGGAAACAGCACUCCAGCAGACCAAUGAAUCCCAUAGACGUCUUCACCUACCACAUGGUCGCCAUGGAGCUGAUUGGCAUCACUGCAUCCAUCACCUGCUGCUGUGGCGCCUUCGUUGAUCACCCACAGAUGCUUGGCGUGGGGUGUAACAUGUUUGCCAUCAUCUCGUGCAUG